GGAUGUGAGGGUGAUCUGGCUGCGACAUCUGUCACCCCAUUGAUCGCCAGAGUUGAUUCGGCUGAUGUGGCUGGCUAGGUGGUGUCCCCUUCCUCCAUCCCCACUCCAUGUGCAUCCUUCCCAAAGCUGUGCACUCGGUCUAAGAGGACGGCAUCCCGAUAGAGGAGGACCGUUCUUGGGUCAAGGGUACACGAGUAGCUGCGCUCCCCUGCUAGAACCUCCAAACAAGCUCUCAAGAAAUUAAAAAUGGUACAUAUACAUAGGAUACUUGCCAUGACUGGCGCUUGCAGGACUGGAAGUUGUUCUGCAUGAGUGAGUGG
rnacentral:sRNA from 1 species